UCAAAUGUAUGAGAUUCGAUCGAAAGUUGGAUCCGCCGUAAACUUUCAAAAAGCAAAAUACACAUUCAGCACGAACAUCCCAAAAGAGCGUAACGGGAUUUGUAAACAUUUUUCUUCUGAGCUUUACCCCAUUAAAGGAAGGAUGAUUUGCUCUGUUAGUGUCGAUGGAGUCUAUGGUUGGGCUUGGAAUUUAUCUACAGCGCCGUAAAAGGGUAUUGUUCAGAACAGCACACUCAAAAUAAUCCAAACGUCAUUAUUACGUGGAAAAUCACGUAGGCCAGUCAUAAUUCAUUUUGCCCUGUCUUUACCUGACUAAGGUAAUGAUCACCAUGGCAUAUAUAAUCAUCAAGAAGAUGUCCGGUCAGUUUCACUGUGAUAGCCCAUUACACUUACGUAAAAUUCACGUAGACACUUAAUUCAUUCUGACCAGUUUUGACAUCUGCACAUUGCGUUCAUUCUGUGUUCAGCUCAAAUGUAAAGAUGGUGGCCACUAGUUCCGCUUGAUCGUUUUUAAGAAAGCCGACGCGCAACGAACGAAUCAGCUACUGAAUGGUUAGGCACCGGCCGGAGUCAAACGGAGAAGUGCAUUUACUGUAGUUGUUUACCCAUUUCUACAGAGAUCAUCGAAUGCAGCUGUACUAUACUGAGAAUAAAAUUAUACAGUGUUUCAAUUCUCCUACACAAUGCUUUGCUAAUUUAUGGUGGGUAUCGAGUAAAUCAAAUAAAUAUUUUAAUUUCUUUA